GAACUUAUAUAGGCCUACAAUACAUUUAGGCUAUUAAUGACCUACUCAUAAUUUUAAUAAAAAACGCCAUCUUGAGACAAAAACAUUAUAGCUCCUUAACACAGUACAAGCUAGUGUAUAUAAAGCUAGGCUAUUGAAAUACCAUAGAGUUUAAUAUCAGUAAGGAUUAGUUUUUCAUAAUUCACAAUAGGAAUAUUUAAAUAAAAGACUAUUGGAGUAAGGAAUAUAUACAGAACAUUAUAUAUCAAAGUUACAGAACCGUUAAUUGUAGACUUGUAAUUAUUAACCAGAACUGUUGCAAGUAUAUAAGCAAAAUUUACCAUGAUGGAUACAAUUGAAUUUAAGAAAACACUUGAUGAAAUCAUGAUAUACUGACUAGUUGUGCAUUGGUGACCAACCCAAAGCUUAAUGAAUGCUGUAUCUGUAACAAUGAAAUCAAAGAAAAUGAAAGUGAUGCAAGAUGUGACUGUUGUAGUAAGCAUUUUCAUGUGACAUGUAUGGGAUUCCCUUGUGAAGACAGACUGAGUGACCUGACAUUGAUCUGGAUUGUUCAUUUUGUGGAAAUAACAACAUGGCUCAUCGCAUGUUUGAUCAAGUAUGCAUCCCUUCUCAUUUCAAUAGAUACGAACUUCUUGGUGAUCAUGAUGAACACUGUUACUUGGAUUUGAACCAAUCAAGGACCCUAUCAAGUACGACCAACAAAAGAAAAUGUGGCAGAUCAAAGAAGAGAUCAAGGAUUUGCGAAAGUACAGAGUUCAUGCUGGUGGCAAGAAAAAAGAAGCAAAGAACAAGAAAGGUCGAGCAAGGAACAAGAAA